GAUGAACGCUAGCGGCAGGCCUAACACAUGCAAGUCGAACGGUAACAUAGAUUGCUUGCAAUCUGAUGACGAGUGGCGCACGGGUGCGUAACGCGUAUAGAACCUACCCUUUACAGGGGGAUAGCCCGGAGAAAUUCGGAUUAAUACCCCAUAGUACUAAUUAGAGGCAUCUUUAAUUAGUUAAAGUAUUACGGUAAAGGAUGGCUAUGCGUCCUAUUAGUUAGUAGGUGAGGUAACGGCUCACCUAGACUCCGAUAGGUAGGGGCCCUGAGAGGGGGAUCCCCCACACUGGUACUGAGACACGGACCAGACUCCUACGGGAGGCAGCAGUGAGGAAUAUUGGACAAUGGUCGAAAGACUGAUCCAGCCAUGCCGCGUGCAGGAAGACUGCCCUAUGGGUUGUAAACUGCUUUUUACGGGAAGAAUAAUACCACGUGUGGGUAGAUGACGGUACCGUAGGAAUAAGGACCGGCUAAC
rnacentral:rRNA from 1 species